rnacentral:rRNA from 1 species
CCUACGGGAGGCAGCAGUGGGGAAUAUUGCACAAUGGGGGAAACCCUGAUGCAGCGACGCCGCGUGAGUGAAGAAGUAAUUCGUUAUGUAACGCUCUAUUAGCAGGGAAGAAAAUGACGGUACCUGAGUAAGAAGCCCCGGCUAACUACGUGCCAGCACCCGCGGUAAUACGUAGGGGGCAAGCGUUAUCCGGAGUUACUGGGUGUAAAGGGAGCGUAGACGGGAGUGCAAGUCGGAAGUGAAAUACCCGGGGUCAACCUGGGAAUUGCUUUGGAAACUGUAUGGCUGGAGUGCUGGAGAGGUAAGCGGAAUUCCUGGUGUAGCGGUGAAAUGCGUAGAUAUUAGGAGGAACACCGGUGGCGAAGGCGGCUUACUGGACAGUAACUGACGUUGAGGCUCGAAAGCGUGGGGAGCAAACAGGAUUAGAUACCCGAGUAGUC